rnacentral:lncRNA from 1 species
AUUCAUGUCCUACACAAGAACUCCUGGAUGCCUUGUUGGGGGUUGGUGAUAAAUGAGCACAUUCAGAGAUUCAAAUGUCUCAUUUUUUUUAAGAUGAGAAAAUUAACUGUUUUUAAUAAGUAAGACCUUUAGCUUGCUAAUCACGUCUAAGUGGUUAGAUUAAUGUCCAGUAUAAAGGAGGGUAUUUAUGAAAAGAAAAAAUAUAUUAACCAAGCAAAAGAUAAUAUUUGAAAAGAAUCUCUUCACAGGGCUAUUGUGCUUCUGUGCGCAGAGCUCCGCAGCCCAGUUCCUGCCCAGGGAAGCAUGCAGUCUACUGAGGGUUACAUACAUUUAUAAUGCAAUGUAAUAUGGGGUACAUUUGAGGAUUUCUCUGGAAAGGGAACUAUGAAAUAGCCUCUCCUGAUUGUAUUAAGGAGAGGAUGGAUGAAUAGCUGUGUGGCUUGACACAGUUGCUGCUGGGGUAUGAAGCUAUGAAGCUGGGGUAGGAAAACACCAUUUCAAGUCUCAGCCUCUUGAAUCUUUGAUUCUGUUCAAACACACUUAAGGGAGUAAAGAGUCCAUAGCUGUUGCUGUGUAGAUAAUAUUUGUUUAAUUAAAAGGGGGAAUAAAAGUCCCAUGUAAAAUACAUGUAUUUUUUAGUGGCUCUGAAUCAGAAUAGGGAAAACAAUUAUCUCAGAGCAAACAACUGAGACUAAACAACAGAAAAUGCAGGCCUUGUCCUCUUAAAGAAUCAAUUAAUUGCAUCCUUGAGAGACUGGUUCCACCAAAGCAAUACAAAUUUGUAGGAAUAAGCAGGUAACACCAAAUUGUCCUGAAGUGUGCUAGGGUAUGAAAGUGCUGAGGAGCACAUAACUGAGAAUCAGGGCCCCCUUAGUCAUUGAAUGGCUCUGAGGGGAAGUGCUCCGGAAAUCUAAUUAGCACUUUGUGGGAGGCUGGGACUUCCUGGUAGAGACACUCUGUUGAUAAAAUUGGAGAUUUGGGGAGAAAUGAGAAUUGAGAUGUUUAAAAAUAACAGAUACAUGAGUAAUACACACAGAAGAACUGCUUGAGUCUCCCCUGAAUAUUCCCUCCAUCUCCUUCUUCUUGCAUUCAGCAUAGCCUACCUGAUUUUGCUUUCCAAGCCCCCUUCCCUCCUCCCAGACAGUAAAGUGUUGCUGCCUCUUUUUGACUUCCAGAGGAUCCUAUAUAUUCAUCAAUUACAAGCGUCCGCAAACUGUAGGCUGUGGGCCAAAUUCAGCUGAGGAGCCAAGGAUGGUUUACAUUUUUGAAGAAGGGGAAGAGGAAGAAGAAUAUGCAACAGAGACCAUAUGUGGCCUGUAAAGGGAUAAAUAAGCCUGGUGAUUCCCUCAAAGAUAGAGAUUUUUUUUGCCAGUCAUCUUUAUUCACCAUGGACCUAGCACAGUGCCUAAAAUGUAGUGGGUGCUUAAUUGAUGUUUGUGGAAUUAAUCAUUCAAUCACUGAAUCAAUCACUCAAUCUGCUAUUGGUAUCUUAGAAACUGAAACUUUGAAGCUUUUUCCCUGGCAUUUUAGGUGUAUGCAUUCAUUGGCUAUACAGGAAAUAUAUGGCCUCAUUUAAAUUGAAGUAUUUUAACAAAGGCUGUCCAAAGCAUCAAAUUCCAUUUGAAACUGGAAAAAAUUUAUUUAGUUCACAGUAACCAUUAAAACAUGUUUGAGGCUUUCUCUGAGAAAGAGGUAAGCUUUGAGAAAUUCAAAAUGUAUUCAUAAGGUACUAACCUAACCCUACCCUGAAUGUGGUAAAGAACACGAAAGGAUUGAAAGAGGAAUUUUAUAUCCAUUGGAGGGACAAGACACAGACUUGAAUCAAUUAACUGUGCAGUAAUCCAGAACUUAUUCGGUUACACCCAUAAGUGGCUGCAGAAUCUCACUGUUAACACUCAGUCGCUCUUUAUACACUUCGUGAUUUACUUUCGUUCAUUCAUUUAGUUAGCAAAUAUUGACUGAGAGCUUACCGUGUGCUAAGUGAAUAAAAUAGGUUAAAAAAAUCUUGCCUCUAAGGUAAUUAAGUCUAGUGGGGGUAGACAAAUAAUAAAUAAUGAACAUAAUAAAUGAGUAAAUUUAUAAGACAAGUUAGAAUAUGAUAAAUGCUGUGGGAAAAGACAUAGAUGAGCAGAGUAAGGGGGUUCAGAGGAUGAGGAAUGGAGUUAGUGAGUUAUAAGUGUAAGUAAGGUGGGCAGUGUAGGCCUCCUUGAGAGCGUGACAUUUGUGAGGUUGCCAUGGAGAUGUCUAGAGGAAGGACAUUCCAGGCAGAGUCAGCAAUCAGUUCUAUGGCUUUGAAGUGGGAAGGAGCUUGAGUGUUCUAGAAAGACUAGGAAGGGCGUGAGCAUACACAAGAGUGAUCAGGCGUGAGAAGUUAGAGGGGAAAGAGUGAGGCCAACAGGUGCAGCAGACCAUGUACCAUAUCCUCUUUGCAUGGACUCUGAGUGGCCUUUGGCUUUUACUUUGAAUGAAUUCCAAAGCACACUGAUAUAAAUUCUCUAAUUUAAUCACUAAAUACUAGCUCAAUGAGGUUACCCUUAGUAUUAUCUCCUUCAUGCCUGGGGGAACUAAGGCUCAAGACCACUCUGAUAGUAAGUGACUGAGGUUGGACUUAGUUCAUACCUUCUGAUUUAUAACUUUGCUUACCAUUGGCCAAGUUUAUCCCUAAGCCCCACCUGCUCCAGGCCCUAGUCCAGUGGGGAAAUUCAAACACCUGUAGGCCACAGGCCCUCCAUUUAAGGAGUCUAAAAUCCAGUGGAAAAUCCUGCCUUCCCAACAGACUGUUAACUUCCUACAGCUACAAAGUAGGUUGUUCUUUUUAAUAUCUCCCCAUAUGUAUGAUGGGUACUUGGUAAAUUGAAUGAGAUAUUAAAUGAACAUCAUUUAAAAGACUAGAUUUCAAAGCAUCUAAAUUAUGCCCAAUAUAUCAUGACCUAAAUUCUGCUGUCAUAAUGGCAAACCUAAUGAGGUUAAUGUCAAUAUUAGCAGAAGUUCUAGGCAUUUUAUGUUAAAUUAUUUACAAAUAUAAAGUAAGUGAAUUUUCAGUGUAUCUGGAACAAGUACACUGAAACUGAUAACCGGUGUGCUAGAAAAAAGUCAUUUAGAUUCAUCAUUUCAGCCCUGGAAUUACUCCCAGGAUCAGACCAGGGAGCUUGUCUUUGCCAAUGUUAGAAGCCAAGCACUGGAUUCCAGGAGCCAGUCCCAUCCAGAGUGAGCAAACUGGCCUUUAAGAAGCAAAGCAAACAGAUGUCAGAAGCCCAGAUGGUGGUAGGGCAGAUUAUGAUGAUAACAGCAAGCAGAUGAUGAUGCUGAUCUAAGGAUAGGGAGUUUUCCCUUUGGACAUUUUUGUAAUUACUUCUGGGAAAGGACGGCACAGUCAAGUCAACAGCGUCCUGGAUGGCCCAUUUUAGGUGGACACUAUGGGGCUGCCUAAGAGAGAAGACACUGCAUUUGAAGUCAGCUUGCUGAGAUCAACACAUUAUCCCAUUGAUUCUAACCUGUAUCAUAACCGAUCUGGUCCUGCCAGGAUGGCAUUAUGACAGCCAUCAUCUUCUUUCACUUGAUUUUCAUCUCCCUGCUUGGUCUUCCAUUGAAAGCAGAGAGGGAGGUGUUAUAUUACAAAGACAAUAUCAAAGACAGGCAUUAACUAAGACUUUUUCAGGGUUCAGUCUGGAACUUGUCAUUGUGGAGAUAUCACUGUUAUGGCUCUACAAGUAUUGAAUAGGAUCUUCCUUGAUUUAGUAACUGAUGACACUGCAGCUAGAGGAUGAGUACUGCUUCUAACACUUCCAUGAACUAGCAGUACAUUUUUUAUCCACUUCACAAGCUACAGGAAUUAAGUGGAAAAGAAGAUGCAAAGUAAAAAUGACUCUGCUGAUAAUUUGACAACUGUCAGCAUUCAUUAAAAUUUGCAGAAUUUCCACCAAAGAUCAUAUCUCCACUGUAAGAUGCAGACCUGCUGGAAAGAAAUCUGUUCAAAACCUCCAUCUAAAGUGUCAAUAUUAGAGGCCCUAUUGAGGUCAUCUCUUCCAGCUCAUUUAUGUACAAAGGGAAAAUCAGAUGCCAGAGAGAGCAAGAGGCCUGUCCAAAGUCACCAAGAUUCAGCGGCAGAAUUAGGACCAGAACCCAAGUUUUGUGACACUUACUUUGGGAUUUAAAAUUUUCCAAAUAGAAUUUUUAAUUAUAUCAAAUUCAAGAUUCAAAAGACCCUUUUAGGUCAUCUGUUUAGUUGCCCAGUAGAGCAAGGGUAGCCUGAUAUUCACAUUUUCUACCUUAGUGAGCAGAGCCCCAUCACAAAAGUAUUUAUAAAACCAGGCUCAAAAAGGCAAAGCCAUUGGCAGAUUAUAUUACAAACAUGAGCAAAGAUGAGUGUCCAAUAAAAGUAUCACCAGUGUGAGAACUAUUAUAGUGCCUAAUUGUAAGAAAAGUGGAAAUUAAAUUUGGGGAGACCAAAAUAGAAAUUGAAAUGCCUUAAAGAUUCUUCAUUUGGUCUCAAUAUGAAAAAGCAAUCAUAUUAUUGCAAUAAGAACCCAAGGAUAUAAGCCAUACUUUUCUACAGUUUGAAUCCCUCCUCCCACACGCUCUUCCCAAUAACCAUCCAGAACAGCUCAAUAAUAUUAAAUAUAAGUAAUCUAGAUAAUAAUAUUGCAAAAUUAAAUCAUUAGAUGUCUAGCUGCUCCAUGGAUGUUCUGCUAUACAAUUCAAAAUAAAGCUAUUUAAAACCCCUUGGAUUCAUUUGCUCUGACAUAUCGAUAAACUUUUGCUGAAACAAAGCUAAUCAUCUCAAUGGUGCCAACUUAAUUGCUCACCAGUUGAUGAAUAAUAAACAGACUUGAGGAUUAAAAUAUGAACUAAUUACUGUACUCAAUUCCAUUUACUUGAUUUCAUGUUCCAUUAAUUCUUUGCAUCAUUUCUGGUGGAAGCCUUAGAUUUAUGGUCACCUCAAAUGAAUUAUGCCACUGUUGCCUGUGGCAUGCUCAGAAUUGGUUGGAAAGGGCAGAAUUCUGGGCAGUUAAUAUUUAGCCAAAGAAGCCUAGGAUAUAGUAAGUGAAGGUAAUUAUCUGUUCCCAAAUACCAGCCAGAGUCAGCCUCUAUAAAUCUAUCCCCAUCUCAGCAGUAAAAGGGCAACACUAGGAUUGCUCUCAUGAUUAUUCAUUGGAUCGGCUUGUUAGAAGCUGUCUCCAAGAGCAGUAGUUGCCUUGGCCUGGAAGAGGGCUGCAGGGAACCAGAGACAAACAUACCAUGGGGAAAGGACAUUGGCCUGGAGAAAGACACUAAGGCCACUGGACAGAAGGCCACAUUUUGCCUUAGAAGAUCUGGCUUCAAGACCCCGUUCUGUCAUUUACUAGCUGUAUGAUCUCAGUAAGGAUAGAGUCACUUAGCCUUCCUUAAUCUUUUAAGCUGUGCUUUUGGCUAAUCAUGCCAGUUCUAUACACACUACAGAGUGAUUGUGCAGUGGCAGAAAAAACGCUCCCGAGAUAGGGCUUUUAAAAGUGCUGUACAAAGGAGUUCCCAUUGUGGUGCAAAAGGAUUGGUGGCAUCUCUGUAGCAUCAGGACACAUGUUUGUGUAUCCUUCCAGGCACAGUGGGUUAAAGGAUCUCAUGUUGCCCCUGUCCUUGGAACUCCAUAUGCCAAAGGAGCAG